rnacentral:rRNA from 1 species
UACGGAGGGUGCAAGCGUUGUCCGGAUUUAUUGGGUUUAAAGGGUGCGUAGGCGGCUUCAUAAGUCCGUGGUGAAAGCCAACAGCUCAACUGUUGAACUGCCGUGGAUACUGUGAGGCUUGAGUACAGACGAGGUAGGCGGAAUGGAUCGUGUAGCGGUGAAAUGCAUAGAUACGAUCCAGAACACCGAUUGCGUAGGCAGCUUACUAGGCUGUAACUGACGCUGAGGCACGAAAGCGUGGGGAGCGAACAGG